UGAAGUUACAGCUUCCAGAAUUUGUCUAGCAGGUUUUCCAGUUUUCACCCUGAAAAUGCCCCC
rnacentral:snRNA from 1 species